ensembl:lncRNA
GUCGCUUUGGAUAAAAGCGUCAGCUGAAUAUCGUGGAAUGGAAUGGAAUUGGACCGCCUCUCGUUGGUUCCUGUCUCCUCGUUUCCAGGGAGGAGGUGAAGAGGAAGGAAGUUGGCUCACAGGCGUACAGUACAGGAAGUGGCGGUGCUGCUGCAUCCUAAGUGCAGCGAGGACCACAACGGCGACCAUAUCAGCACGUCACUGCUGAAGAAGUGGGGGUCGACCGUGGCGCAUUGAGUAGAGAGGGUGCUCCUAACCCUAACCGCCAGGAACUGCAAGGAGGACGAAGGAGUAGUUAAAGCGGUUGAGUCGGCACUGGAGGACUCUGAGGGAAGGAGCUGGUAUCCAGGGUGGAGGACAUGGUGGGGUCUGAGAUAAUCUGCUGGGCUGUCUGAACCAGCUCCAGCAGGGGACCCCAAACUUCCCUUUCCCACAUCUACCAGCUCUGACUGGGGGAUCCAAGGCGUCCCCAGGCCAGUGCAGAGAUAUAAUCUCUCCACCUAGUCCUGGGUCUUCCCCGGGGCCUCUUCCCAGCUGGCCGUGCCUGGAACACCUCCCUAGGGAGGCUCCCAGGGGGCAUCCUCACCAGAUGCCCAAACCACCUCAACUGGCUCCUUUCGACGCAAAGGAGCAGCGGCUCUACUCCGAGCUCCUCGCGAACGGCUGAGCUUCUCCCCCGAUCCCUAAGGGAGACGCCAGCCACUCUCCUGAGGAAACCCAUUUCGGCCGCUUGUACCCGUGACCUAGUUCUUUCGGUCAUCACCCAUCCUUCAUGACCAUAGGUGAGGGUAGGAACAAAGAUUGACCGGUAGAUCGAGAGCUUUGCCUUCCGGCUCAGCUCUCUUUUCGUCACAACGGUGCGGUAAAGCGAGUGCAAUACCGCCCCCGCUGCUCCGAUUCUCCGGCGGAACUCACACUCCAUCUUUCCCUCACUCGUGAACAAGACCCCGAGGUACUUGAACUCCUUCACUUGGGGUAAGGACACAUUCCCUACCUGGAGUAGGCAAUCCAUCGGUUUCCUGCUGAGAACCAUGGCCUCAGAUUUAGAGGUGCUAAUCCUCAUCCCGACCGCUUCACACUCGACUGUGAAACGCUCCAGUGAGAGUUGGAGGUCACAGACGGAAGAUGCCAUCAGGACCACAUCAUCUGCAAAAAGCAGCGAUGAGAUCUGCAGCCCCCCUAACUGUAGACCCUCCUCCCCGCGACUACGCCACGAUAUCCUGUCCAUGAAAACCACAAACAAGAUUGGUGACAAGGCGCAGCCCAGGCGCAGCCCAACCCCCACCGGAAACGCCUUCGACUUACUGCCGAGCACCCGAACACAGCUCUCGCUUUGGGCUUACAAGGAUGGGAUGGCCCCAAGCAAGGACCCCCUCACACUGUACUCCCACAGCACCUCCCACAGUAUCUCUCGGGGGACCCGGUCAUACGCCUUCUCCAAGUCCACAAAACACAUGUAGACUGGAUGAGCAUACUCCCAAGCCCCCUCUAUGCCUCCUUCGCCUCCAGCUCCGCCUCUACCAAAGAGGGCGUAGUAGUUGGAUUCAGGAGUUCCUCAAAGUGUUCCUUCCACCGCCCGAUAACCUCCUCAGUAGCGGUCAACAGGAUCCCAUCCUUACUGUACACAGCUUGGACGGUUCCCUGUUUCCCCCUCCUGAGGUGCCGGAUGGUCUUCCAGAAGAACUUUGGUGCCGCCUGAAAGUCCUUCUCCAUAGUCACCCCAAACCCCUCCCAUACUCGCUGCUUUGCCUCCAUCACGGCAGAGGCUGCUGCCCUUCGAGCCUGUCGGUACACUGCAACUGCCUCCGGAGUCCCACCGGAUAUCAUAACCCAGAAGGCCUCCUUCUUCAGUCGGACGGCUUCCCUGACCACCGGUGUCCACCACGGGGUUCGAGGGUUACCGCCCCUUGAUGCACCUAAGACCUUGAGGCCACAACUCACUGCCGCGGCUUCAGCAAUGGAGGUUUUGAACAUACACCACUCUGAUUCAAUGUCCUCUACCUCCACAGGAAUGUGAAAGAAGCUCCGCCGGAGGUGUGAGUUGAAAAUCUUUUGGACCGGGGCCUCCUCCAGACGUUCCCAGUUUACCCUCACUACACGCUUGGGACCUCGUGCAGACAGACUCUAGUUUGCCUGAACCCGGGUUCAUUUUUCACACCUACCCACUUUUUAAAUUGCGUGCACAUGAACCCAGUGAAUCCGAUUGACUCCGCUGUAGUGCAUCCCCACGCCUGUUGGUGGCGCUUUAAGGUGCUACAGACAACUGAAGAAAACGGAAGAAGACAGGAGCAUGCGUAUAAGACAUGCGCGCCGUAUACAAACAAAAAAUACUGACGAUAUUCCCGUAGUACGCAUUGUAGACUUGUUAGCACAUUCAGGAGGCACAUUAUCCUUGCGUUCGCCAUUGCUGUCGUUGUUAUGAAGUGACGCAUUGGGGUUAAUAAGGGUUCAGCGUGAGGUUGCAUGCAAUCACGUGAUGCAAUCACGUGGGGCAAUCCGAUUAGGUAUGCGGAUAGCGUGCAGACGAACACGAACAGCAAUCGGAUUUCAAGUUUACUCACUUUGGACCCCGGAUUCGAGGGAGUGCGGAUACAGUGUGCGGAUACAGUGUGUUCGUCUGCACGAUAGGGCUAUCCGGAGACAGGGUUCACCGGGUUCAGGCAAACUAGAGUCCGUCUGCACAGGGUCUGGGUUUACCGGGUCUGUCCCGAGUCUUCCCCCAUCCUCUGACCCAGCUCACAACCAGAUGGUGACCAGUUGACAGCUCUGCCCCUCUUUUUACCCGAGUGUCCAGAACAUGCGGCCUCAGAUCAGACGAUUACAAAAUCGAUCAUUGAUCUUUGGCCUCGGGUGCUCUGAUACCACGUACACUUAUGAACAUCCUUAUGUUCGAACAUGGUGUUUGUUAUGGACAAUCCGUGACUGGCACAGAAGUCCAGUAACAAAUCCCCGCGCCGGUUCAGAUCAGAGAGGCCGUUCCUCCCAAUCACGCCUCUCCAGUUAUCUCCAUCGUGGCCCACGUGCGCAUUAAAGUCUCCCAGUAGGACUAUGGCGUCCCCUACUGGAGCCCCAUGCAGGACUCAUUCAGGGUCUCCAAAAAGGCCGAAUACUCUGAGCUGCUGUUUGGUGCAUAUGCACAGACCACCCCCCCCCACCACCACCCGAAGGCCACUCAGCCGGGGACUUAUGAGUAUCCCCACACCUGCCUGGCGCCUCACACCAUGGGCCACUCCGGAGUAGAAUAGAGUCCAUCCCCUAUCCAGGAGUGUGGUUCCAGAGCCGAGGCUGUGCGUAGAGGUAAGCCCCACCAGAUCCAACUGGUAACGCUCCACCUCCCGCACAAGCUCCGGCUCCUUCCCCCCCAGAGAGGUGACGGUCCACGUCCCCAGAGCCAGCAUCUGCCGCCCAGGUCUGUUCCGUCUAGACCCCCCACUGUCACUGCCACCCUUGUAGCAGCGCAUCCGACCCCAUUGGUUUCCCCCACAGGUGGUGAGCCCAUGGGGAGUAGAGUGUUGGGGUGCCGCGUCACUUUUUUGGGCUGUGCCCGGCCGGGCUCCGUGGUAAACCGGGCCACCAGACGCUCGCUGUCGGGCCCUCCAUCUGGGCCUGGCUCCAAAUGGGGGAACUUUUUCCCCUCUCUGGGAACUUAUACUGUGUCUGUGAGAUUCAAAUGUUAUUAACUCGGUCAUAGUUUUAUAUUUUUAUAUGUGGAAUAAAUAUAAAGGCACAGUAACGUGUUUUAUGAUUCUUCACACGUAGAUCAUUAAUAACUUUCUUUAUUACAUAUCUUUAUUAAUGUUUACACAUCAGAAAGUUAAUAUUCACACAAUGAGUAUUGUAUUACAUAAGCAUUACAUUGUAUUGUAUGUAUUAUAUUGGUAGUAGGGUAGUAUUUAAAAAAAAAUGUCAAUAAUAAAUGUCAAUACUGGAGAAUUGAUUUUGUCUAUGAAACGCGUUAUGUUGAAAUUGCACGUUUUACUAAAUAAAAAAAGACGUCUUUAUAUGUCUUUGUGAAGACACAUGUCUGUUAUUAAUUUAAGUAUCUCGACAUUAGUAUAUAUUUAUGUUCUUUAUGUAUACAUUAAUGUCUAUAUGUAUUAUACAUGUUUGUUAUUUAUAUCUUUAUACAUUGAGACAUUCACUGAUGUGUUUGGUAUAUUUAUGUUGUAUUAUUAUUUGUGUGUUUAUACUUUUAUUCUCAUUAUACUUCAUGAAUGUUCACACAUGGAGACACGUGAAUCCCUCCUGACGGUGACCUCUGAGUGUGAAUAAUCAGCUGAUCUUCUGGGGUCAAAGGUCCCCCCCC